GAUGCUGUAGUUAUGUGACUGAUCUUUUGACCUGUGGUGUCAUAGUUACUCAUAGUAAGACUGCGGUAGUUUGACACAUAUAAAUAUUAAUUCGAUUAUGAACUUUUAUAGUGGAUGUUGGCUUCAGUUGGUUGAGUUAUGCGAGCGACGUGUGUAUCUAGAUAGGAUCUAUCGAUCUUGAUAGAGAGGAGUAGUCCUAUAAGAUUUGAGAGGCUGAGUUCACAAGUCUAUGGCCAUAG
rnacentral:lncRNA from 1 species